GCAUGGUAGCAAUCACGCACCUGAUACACACCCCACUUCAUCUUUAAAUUGUCAUUUUUCCUAUGAAUGAAAGCACGAACCUCUGGAUCACAUUUCAGCACAUAGUGAACAGUCCCUCCAGCAGCAGGUUUAUGGAAGAUAACACUCAUCUUAUCCUUCACUCCAUCAAUCAUGCUCAGAUCAUUUCUCUCAAUAACUGUCUCAAUGAUUGAAUCACCAUCCUCCACCUGAGCAACAUUGCAGAUCAUAAUCUUUGGGUUCAGACGCCUCCCACAUGAAACAUUCAGAUUAUCAACACCGUGCAACUUAUUCUGUGCCUCAGUUCGACUCUCCUCAGACUCAAAGUUCAUCACAAUGUUUCCCUUCCAUGUGAGCUUCGAAUCCAGUAUCUGAACAUCAGACAAAACCUCCUCUACUUUUUUCUUCAUAUCAACCGCUUUCUCAUUACCUCCCGCCUUAAGAAUAAGCAAGUUCUUGUUUUUCUGUCCUUCUUUCCUCUUCCUGCCUCUUGACACUACCUCUGCCCACCGUGCACCGCCACCAUCAUCAUCAAUCUCACGACCGGUUUGAGCUGAAACCGCCUCUUCAACUGCCGUUGUUACCCCUGCAGCCAAAACAGGCAAUGCUGCCUCCACACUUGCCCGAAGAGCAUGUGGUGUGUGCUGGGAUGCCUUGCAGGAGAUCACGCUGGGAUACGAAGCCGCCCCUCAAGAGAUGGAGUCCAUUCAGCUGUUCAAUUCUGCCGAGGGAAAAGAAUCAUUCAACUCUGAAGACUGCCAUGGAUUCUUAUGUAUUAGCUAGCGAGAUGUGAACUUUCUAUCUCGUGAAAAUAAAGUUCAGGGACGUA